GAUGAAGAACGCAGCGAAAUGCGAUACUUGGUGUGAAUUGCAGAAUCCCGUGAACCAUCGAGUCUUUGAACGCAAGUUGCGCCCGAAGCCAUCAGGUUGAGGGCACGUCUGCCUGGGCGUCACAUAUCGUUGCUCGAUGCCUAUCGCAUUGCGAUAGGACUUAGGGCGAAUGAUGGCUUCCCGUGAGCGUUGUUGCCUCGCGGUUGGUUGAAAAUCGAGUCCUUGGUAGGGUGUGCCAUGAUAGAUGGUGGUUGAGUGAUGAUGCUCGAGACCAAUCAUGGGUAACUCCACCAGAAUUGGGCUCGGUGACCCACAUGCGUCCCUUGGAUGCUCCCUAAGGAGACCUCAGGUCAGGCGGGGCUACCCGCUGAGUUUAAGCAUAUCAAUAAGCGGAGGA
rnacentral:misc_RNA from 1 species